rnacentral:rRNA from 1 species
GACGAACGCUGGCGGCGUGCUUAACACAUGCAAGUCGAGCGAGGCCCUUCUUCGGGAGGUGCCCUAGCGGCGAACGGGUGAGUAACACGUGGGCAACCUGCCCUCAGCUCUGGGAUAACUCCAAGAAAUUGGUGCUAAUACCGGAUGUGACCGCUGACCGCAUGGUCUGGUGGUGGAAAGAUUCAUCGGCUGAGGAUGGGCCCGCGGCCUAUCAGCUUGUUGGUGGGGAAUGGCCUACCAAGGCGACGACGGGUAGCCGGCCUGAGAGGGUGACCGGCCACACUGGGACUGAGACACGGCCCAGACUCCUACGGGAGGCAGCAGUGGGGAAUAUUGCGCAAUGGGCGAAAGCCUGACGCAGCGACGCCGCGUGAGGGAUGACGGCCUCGGU